AUUGAACGCUGGCGGCAUGCCUUACACAUGCAAGUCGAACGGCAGCACGGACUUCGGUCUGGUGGCGAGUGGCGAACGGGUGAGUAAUGCAUCGGAACGUACCCGGUAGUGGGGGAUAACUACCCGAAAGGGUGGCUACUACCGCAUAUACUGUGCGCAGGAAAGCAGGGGACCUUCGGGGCUUGUGCUACCGGAGCGGCCGAUGUCAGAUUAGGUAGUUGGUGGGGUAACGGCCUACCAAGCCUGCGAUCUGUAGCGGGUCUGAGAGGAUGAUCCGCCACACUGGGACUGAGACACGGCCCAGACUCCUACGGGAGGCAGCAGUGGGGAAUUUUGGACAAUGGGCGCAAGCCUGAUCCAGCCAUGCCGCGUGAGUGAAGAAGGCCUUCGGGUUGUAAAGCUCUUUCGGACGGAAAGAAAUCGUGCAGGCUAAUACCCUGCGCGGAUGACGGUACCGUCAUAAGAAGCACCGGCUAACUACGUGCCAGCAGCCGCCGUAAAAC
rnacentral:rRNA from 1 species